GACAGAGGGUGCAAACGUUGCUCGGAAUUACUGGGCGUAAAGCGCGUGUAGGCGGUGCCGCACGUCCGGUGUGAAAGCCCGGGGCUCAACCCCGGAAGUGCAUUGGAUACGACGGCGCUGGAGGCCUGAAGAGGAGGGCGGAAUUCCCGGUGUAGAGGUGAAAUUCGUAGAUAUCGGGAGGAACACCAGUGGCGAAGGCGGCUCUCUGGACAGGUUCUGACGCUGAGACGCGAAAGCGUGGGUAGCAAACAGG
rnacentral:rRNA from 1 species